CUUAACCUGGGAAUUGCCUUUGAUACUGUGGAUCUAGAGUCCGGGAGAGGGUCGUGGAAUUCCGCGUGUAGUGGUGAAAUGCGUAGAGAUGCGGAGGAACACCAGUGGCGAAGGCGGCACCCUGGACCUUAACUGACGCUGAGGCGCGAAAGCAUGGGUAGCGAACGGGAUUAGAAACCCCGGUAGUCCAUGCCGUAAACGAUGUGUACUGGAUGUUCGUCACGCACUGCGUGGGGAGUGUCUAAGCAAACGCACUAAGUACACCGCCUGGGGAGUACGGUCGCAAGGCUAAAACUCAAAGGAAUUGACGGGGGCCCGCACAAGCAGCGGAGCGUGUGGUUUAAUUCGAGGCUACACGAAGAACCUUACCUGGGUUUGACAUAUAGGUGGUAGCGAAGCGAAAGCGGAGCGACCUUCGGGAGCC
rnacentral:rRNA from 1 species